AUUGAACGCUGGCGGCAGGCUUAACACAUGCAAGUCGAGCGAGCGGCGGACGGGUGAGUAAUGUCUGGGAAACUGCCUGAUGGAGGGGGACAACUCCUGGAAUCGGUAGCUAAUACCGCAUACCAUCAUAUGUGCCCAGAUGGGAUUAGGUAGUUGGUGAGGUAAAGGCUCACCAAGCCGUCGAUCUCUAGCUGGUCUGAGAGGAUGAUCAGCCACACUGGGACUGAGACACGGCCCAGACUCCUACGGAAGGCAGCAGUGGGGAAUAUGGCACAAUGGGCGCAAGCCUGAUGCAGCCAUGCCGCGGGUAUGAAGAAGGCCUUAGGGUUGUAAAGUACGUUCAGCGGGGAGGCGUUACCCGCAGAAGAAGCACCGGCUAACUCAGUGCCAGCAGCCGAGGUAAUAC
rnacentral:rRNA from 1 species